GAGGGUGUAGCUCAGCGGUAGAGCACAUGCUUGGCAUGCAUGAGGUCCUGGGUUGGAUCCCCAGUACCUCCA
rfam:Camelus ferus unplaced genomic scaffold scaffold897, whole genome shotgun sequence.